GCCCCGAUAGCUCAGUCGGUAGAGCAUGAGGCUCUUAAUCUCAGGGCCGUGGGUUCGAGCCCUACGUUGGGCG
rfam:Danio rerio chromosome 4, GRCz11 reference primary assembly.